CUACCACAUCCAAGGAAGGCAGCAGGCGCGCAAAUUACCCAAUCCCGACACGGGGAGGUAGUGACAAUAAAUACUGAUACAGGGCUCUCUUGGGUCUUGUAAUUGGAAUGAGUACAAUUUAAAUCCCUUAACGAGGAACAAUUGGAGGGCAAGUCUGGUGCCAGCAGCCGCGGUAAUUCCAGCUCCAAUAGCGUAUAUUAAAGUUGUUGCAGUUAAAAAGCUCGUAGUUGAACCUUGGGCCUGGCUGGCCGGUCCGCCUCACCGCGUGUACUGGUCCGGCCGGGCCUUUCCUUCUGGGGAACCUCAUGCCCUUCACUGGGCGUGUUGGGGAACCAGGACUUUUACUUUGAAAAAAUUAGAGUGUUCAAAGCAGGCCUUUGCUCGAAUACAUUAGCAUGGAAUAAUAGAAUAGGACGUGUGGUUCUAUUUUGUUGGUUUCUAGGACCGCCGUAAUGAUUAAUAGGGAUAGUCGGGGGCAUCAGUAUUCAAUCGUCAGAGGUGAAAUUCUUGGAUUGAUUGAAGACUAACUACUGCGAAAGCAUUUGCCAAGGAUGUUUUCAUUAAUCAGUGAACGAAAGUUAGGGGAUCGAAGACGAUCAGAUACCGUCGUAGUCUUAACCAUAAACUAUGCCGACUAGGGAUCGGACGGUGUUAGUAUUUUGACCCGUUCGGCACCUUACGAGAAAUCAAAGUUUUUGGGUUCUGGGGGAAGUAUGGUUGCAAAGCUGAAA
rnacentral:rRNA from 1 species